rnacentral:misc_RNA from 1 species
GUAUUAUAAGAUUAUUUUUUUAUGUAAUCUCAAAAUGAGUUCAGUUCAAUUUAAUAAAGGAUAAGAUAAUUGUUGGGGACGGCCAAGAAAAAAAAAUAAAAUCUUUUUUUCUUAACCAUGUUUAAUCCCCAACAUAACAUACGGUCAAAGCCAGCACAAUGGGAAGAAGCUUCAAUGAAUGAAGACUCACUUCAGUAAUGAUCCUUCCGCAGGUUCACCUACGGAAA